rnacentral:rRNA from 1 species
AGCGUACACGGUGGAUGCCUGGGCAGUCAGAGGCGAUGAAGGACGUACUAACUUGCGAUAAGCGCAGAUAAGGCAGUAAGAGCCGUUUGAGUCUGCGAUUUCCGAAUGGGGAAACCCAACUGCAUAAGCAGUUACUGUUAACUGAAUACAUAGGUUAACAGAGCAAACCGGGGGAACUGAAACAUCUAAGUACCCCGAGGAGAAGAAAUCAACCGAGAUUCCGGUAGUAGCGGCGAGCGAACCUGGAUUAGCCCUUAAGCACUCGGUGAAGUAGGUGAACAAGCUGGAAAGCUUGGCGAUACAGGGUGAUAGCCCCGUAACCGACGCUUCAUCGAGCGUGAAAUCGAGUAGGGCGGGACACGUGAUAUCCUGUCUGAAUAUGGGGGGACCAUCCUCCAAGGCUAAAUACUCCUGACUGACCGAUAGUGAACCAGUACCGUGAGGGAAAGGCGAAAAGAACCCCUGUGAGGGGAGUGAAAUAGAACCUGAAACCGUGUACGUACAAGCAGUAGGAGCACCUUCGUGGUGUGACUGCGUACCUUUUGUAUAAUGGGUCAGCGACUUAUAUUCAGUGGCAAGGUUAACCGUAUAGGGGAGCCGUAGCGAAAGCGAGUCUUAACUGGGCGCUCAGUCUCUGGAUAUAGACCCGAAACCGGGUGAUCUAGCCAUGGGCAGGUUGAAGGUUGAGUAACAUCAACUGGAGGACCGAACCGACUAAUGUUGAAAAAUUAGCGGAUGACUUGUGGCUAGGGGUGAAAGGCCAAUCAAACUCGGAGAUAGCUGGUUCUCCCCGAAAGCUAUUUAGGUAGCGCCUCGGACGAAUACUACUGGGGGUAGAGCACUGUUAAGGCUAGGGGGUCAUCCCGACUUACCAACCCUUUGCAAACUCCGAAUACCAGUAAGUACUAUCCGGGAGACACACGGCGGGUGCUAACGUCCGUCGUGGAGAGGGAAACAACCCAGACCGCCAGCUAAGGUCCCAAAGUAUUGCUAAGUGGGAAACGAUGUGGGAAGGCUCAGACAGCUAGGAUGUUGGCUUAGAAGCAGCCAUCAUUUAAAGAAAGCGUAAUAGCUCACUAGUCGAGUCGGCCUGCGCGGAAGAUGUAACGGGGCUAAGCAAUACACCGAAGCUGCGGCAAUGUCUUUUAGACAUUGGGUAGGGGAGCGUUCUGUAAGCCGUUGAAGGUGAAUCGUAAGGUUUGCUGGAGGUAUCAGAAGUGCGAAUGCUGACAUGAGUAACGACAAAGGGGGUGAAAAACCUCCUCGCCGGAAGACCAAGGGUUCCUGUCCAACGUUAAUCGGGGCAGGGUGAGUCGACCCCUAAGGUGAGGCCGAAAGGCGUAAUCGAUGGGAAACGGGUUAAUAUUCCCGUACUUCUGACUAUUGCGAUGGGGGGACGGAGAAGGCUAGGUGGGCCAGGCGACGGUUGUCCUGGUUCAAGUGCGUAGGCUUGAGAGUUAGGUAAAUCCGGCUCUCUCUAAGGCUGAGACACGACGUCGAGCUACUACGGUAGUGAAGUCAUUGAUGCCAUGCUUCCAGGAAAAGCCUCUAAGCUUCAGAUAGUCAGGAAUCGUACCCCAAACCGACACAGGUGGUCGGGUAGAGAAUACCAAGGCGCUUGAGAGAACUCGGGUGAAGGAACUAGGCAAAAUGGUACCGUAACUUCGGGAGAAGGUACGCUCUUGAUGGUGAAGUCCCUCGCGGAUGGAGCUGACGAGAGUCGCAGAUACCAGGUGGCUGCAACUGUUUAUUAAAAACACAGCACUGUGCAAAAUCGCAAGAUGACGUAUACGGUGUGACGCCUGCCCGGUGCCGGAAGGUUAAUUGAUGGGGUUAGCGCAAGCGAAGCUCUUGAUCGAAGCCCCGGUAAACGGCGGCCGUAACUAUAACGGUCCUAAGGUAGCGAAAUUCCUUGUCGGGUAAGUUCCGACCUGCACGAAUGGCGUAAUGAUGGCCACGCUGUCUCCACCCGAGACUCAGUGAAAUUGAAAUCGCUGUGAAGAUGCAGUGUACCCGCGGCUAGACGGAAAGACCCCGUGAACCUUUACUACAGCUUGGCACUGAACAUUGAACCUACAUGUGUAGGAUAGGUGGGAGGCUAUGAAGACGUGACGCCAGUUGCGUUGGAGCCGUCCUUGAAAUACCACCCUUGUAUGUUUGAUGUUCUAACUUAGACCC